AUGGACCGGGGUCUCGGUCAACGUGCUCCAUGGCCAGGCAGAGGCGUAUCUGUGCAUGAGCUGACACUCCUUCAACAUAGCUCAGAAAGGGGCUUAUGGCCUCAGGCUGAGCUGGAAUGGAGCCUUCAGGUGUGGGGAAAAGCUACAAGUGAGACUGGUGGAGAGGCAAUAUCAGGCUAAACAAUGGAAAGAAGUUUACCAAAUCACUAUGUAUGUCAAAGUUCCUGGAAGAGGUAAAUUUCAGUUUAAAGGAGGUCAGAGUAACCCUUGCAACUAGAACAAAGCAGGUGAGUUGGCUAUUUUUUUUUUUUUUACCCUUGCCUUUUUUUUUUUUUUAAAGGUCUUUAUUUCGUUAUCUUUUUAAUAUCACAGGCAAAGAAAUGUGUCCUGUUUAGUUCUCCUUCUGUUAAGUUGCCCACUUACCAGCAUUAAAUUCUUUACAGACCUCAUUCCAGAGUCAACAGAAGAUGGAGUCAGAUGCUUUAUGUUACAUACACUGAAGGUAUGUUCACUGUAACUUCUGGAGCAUGGAAACAAGGCAAUAACAGGAAGCCGGGACAAAUGAGAAACUAAAAAAAUCUAGUUCCAAAGAGUUAUAAAACUUCUUUCUAGCUUGGAUUUUAUUUUUGGAUUUAUCCAAAUUUCUCUUUCUUUGACAUUUUUUGUACCCUAUAAGAAGCAUAGGUUAUACAGGUAUGGAAAAAUAGUGCAUAAAUUAGGCUUGCACAGCCUGAAGGACAAUGCACUGUUUUCAACAACAUGACUGGUGUCAUGGUCUCACACUGAAAAAGGAAUUUUAUAUGUUUAUGUUAAAAAUGUUUAUGUUAAAUAGAGUCUCCUACUUCACUAGCUCUUUCCAUACACAACUUUGAAACUCCUGUAGCCAGGAUUUGUACUUCCUUAUUGGGCUCCAUGCUGAAAGAAAAGUUGCUAAAUGCUCUGCUCGCUGUAUGUGACUAACUCUUCUGGCCUUUUCUUAAUACUGGAUUAUGUGGUGUCUAAUCACUGGACCAAUACAAAAUCACUUGCCCUGUAAUAUUAACAUAUUAUCAGUCCGAUCUCUUUUGCACAAACACAAUGAUUUUCAAAUAUUGGAUCAAAGUUGAAACUCGGAAUGCUUACUAACUAGCAAACUGGUUAUAUGAAAAAUAUGAAAGGCUAGUGAAAUAAAGAUGAAAUGCUAUCGUUAUUUCA
rnacentral:lncRNA from 1 species